UUUUUUGGCCCCCUCCUCCUUGACAGAGCAAGAGAGGGAGACCUUGGGAUUCAGAAGCUUCAUCCUCCAUCCUUCACUUCGUUCUUCCACCAUUCUUUCUCAUUGUCAUAGUGACUAUGGGACCUUCCUCUUCCCCUGUUCUACAGUGAUUCCCUUCUCCUCUCUUCGUGUAGCUCUCUCCCUGUUCUGCGUCGUCAUGGUUCUGGUGUGGUCGUGUGGUGCACCAACUCCUUCCCCUUCUAUUUCUUCACCGUCGCUGAACUGGUUAAAAGGGAAGUUUAAAAUUUUUCUCCCUGCUCCAUCAUGAUUGAUCUGAGGAGUGUUGAAUCCAUGGGUGCGCGCGUGUGGCAUAAUGGUUGAGGCUGUGGAAUUUUUCCUGCCCUGUGCUGCCGUGUAUGUUUGAGUAUGAAGGUGAAAUUGAUUUAAAUUGAAAUUUUUAGUAUAGAGAAUAAAAGGAUGAUGGUGUGGUAUUGAAUUUUAGUUGAACUUGAAUUGAUUAUUGAUGCUGAUAAAUUAUUGGAUCAAUGAAUGAAGUUAAGAAGCUCCACUAAAUAAAUUAGGAAUUGGUGCC